rnacentral:rRNA from 1 species
CGGGUGAGUAUAAUGUGGGAAUCUGCCUUUUGGUUCGGAAUAACACGAGGAAACUUGUGCUAAUACCGGAUAAGCCUUUACAGGGAAAGUUUUAAUGCCAAAAGAUGAGCCCGCACUUGAUUAGCUAGUUGGUAAGGUAAUAGCUUACCAAGGCAACGAUCAAUAGCUGUUCUUAGAGGAAGACCAGCCACAUUGGGACUGAGACACGGCCCAAACUCCUACGGGAGGCAGCAGUGGGGAAUCUUGCACAAUGGGGGAAACCCUGAUGCAGCGAUGCCGCGUGAGUGAAGAAGGCCUUUGGGUUGUAAAACUCUUUCGUCGGGGAAGAAAAUGACUGUACCCGAAUAAGAAGGUCCGGCUAACUUCGUGCCAGCAGCCGCGGUAAUACGAAGGGACCUAGCGUAGUUCGGAAUUACUGGGCUUAAAGAGUUCGUAGGUGGUUAAAAUAGUUGAUGGUGAAAUCCCAAGGCUCAACCUUGGAACUGCCAUCAAAACUUUUUAGCUAGAGUAUGAUA